rnacentral:siRNA from 1 species
AUCCAAAUGGGUGUGAUGCUAGC